ACAGGGUUACCCUUCCGAGAGAUGGGAAAAUAUCCAAAAGUGAACAGACGUUUCGGAAAAAGUUCAAGGUCACCGGCCUGGAGGACACCUUGUACACCACCACCAUCGUCCAGGACUUUAAGCCUGAGAAGAACACGCUGCCGCUGAAGAGAGGGGACGUAGUUGAUGUCAUUCGGAUCACCGAUUGUCCCCCGGGGAAAUGGCUGGUGAAAGACAUCCAAGGAAACUAUGGCUUCGUCCCGGUGUCUUGUGUGGAUAUUAGCAAAGAUAUAUUGUCCUUUGGCAAUCAACAUUUACUGAUCAACUCUGGCACAUCUGAUAUCUA